rnacentral:rRNA from 1 species
AUGGGGAUGCAGGCUCUGAUGGAUGUUCGGUGCAAGAAUCUAGUGAACCCUGUAUGCGACUGGCUCGGUGAGAUUUAUGAUCCUGACUCCAGGGAAUUUGUGAUUCCGGGACGUGGAAGACUGCCUUUGGACGAGGAAUCCGUGUUCUGCACUUUGGGUGUGCCCCGUAGAGAAAUCAAAGUCCCGUAUGAGGUGAAUAACAAGAUCGAGGAAGCCUUGUUCGCCCGUUUGUUUCCUGGGAUGGCAUCAAUGCCGAACACGACUUUGCUGGCAAAUUCGCUGGAGGGCAUGAAAACCCAUGGUGAGGUUUUUAAGAUGAAGCUCCUCAUGUAUCUGAUCUUAGCUGUUUUUGCGCCUACCACAUCUCUUCGCUCAAGCAAUAAGUGCUUCCCCAUCCUGGCGAAGCUGAAAGACGUGAAGAACAUGAAUUGGUGUAAAUUCAUCGCGGACUUCCUGCAUGAUGCAUUCUCAAACAAGAUGUACCAGAAGGGCUAUCGCCUGCACUUAAUGCUCAUGUACAUUGAUCGUCUUGAUCUGUCCACCGUCGACUUUACUGGUAUAGGAGGCCCGCCGCCUCCACAUAAGUUUGUUGUUUCUGCGUGGACGUACGAUGCUGUCAAGGUUGUGCUUGCCGCAGACAGGAUAACUGAUACGAAAUAUGGGAAACUGCAGCUGAUGGCCAAGCAUGCUAUAGACUACAACGUGUUUGGUGCGCCUCAAAAAUUUGGCAAGUGGAUGGAUGUGCAUUCAGCUCCAUCUUGUCCUGCUGAGGCGAGGGCACCUGUUGAGCAUCUAGUUGGGCAGUUUGCUUCCGGCAUGACCAGCUUGCUCGGGAAGUUGGUUGAGGGUUGGACGACACUCAAUGGCUCUGACAGCGACGCGGUUGCGAGGCAGUUCACACCAUUUGUUGGAGAACGGAUAGAUCGGCCAACUGGUUGCCGUGGCCGGUACGACUACAACAGCUCCCAGGAGAUCCCUGACACGCAAGAUGAACUAGAUGGGGAUGCUGGUCUUGACAAGGACGAUGAUGACGACAUGGAGAACGUGCAACAUGAAACCGACGACGAUGAACAUGUUGAAGUUCGUGCAGGUGGUAAGAAGGACAAGGCUGCACCAGAUGUCCCCCCACAGGAGAAAGUCAUUGAACAGACAUUUGCGAGAGACAAGGGGGUGUCGCCCUCAAAGAGGGGCAGGGCUCCAGAGGAUGUUGGGCAGGGCUCUGUUGGCAAGAGGGUGAAGAAGACUACUACACGCGUGACCAAGCAGAACACUAGAGACCCACUCGAACGCAUUCAUUCAAAGCUGUCAACAGGUGGCAACUCAGAUGUUCAUGAGGCGCCAGUCGACAAAACUGCUGCUGCAUCGUCCACUGUUCCCACUAGCUCUGAUGCAAGCGGCCGACCAUCUCCGCCGGUUGCAGAUGUGCAGGCUACAACAAUAGGCAUCCGUACAUCUGGGAGUGAUGAGUCAGUAUCUGCCACGACUGCUGAGAUAUUGCCUACUCUGCAGGCAAUGAAGGAUGCUGCUGUGACCCAUGCCACCGGAUCAGCAAGUGUUGAAGUGGACGCUCCCGAUAUCAACCUAAGCAAGGAAGAUUCCCGCUCAUCUGAUACGGAUUCCAAGCGUGUGGUUGGUGGCACUUCUGCAUCCACAAAAGAAGGGGCUGCGGCGACAAUUCAUAAUGAGAUGCCAUCCACAGGUGAGACUCUGGGCACAACAGCUCCAGCUUCUGGUGGUCCAGAGGUUGCUACGGCAACCGUUACGCGAGCUGGUCUUCCACCUAGGCGGCAUAGCCCCCGCAAGCAAUCUGCAGACAUACCCAACGCACCAGCUGUAGCUAGGAGCAGCAGAGAUGACUCUGUUUAUGUGCCUGCGUCCACACUGUUCCCACCACCUGCCAAAAGCAAUGUUAUGGAGAAAACGACGGUCCGGAGCGCAACUGAUGCAGGUGGCAAGCCGGGCACGACUGACGGAGGUGAACGUCCGGAGCAGACUGCGUCUUUACCCUUCGUGGAGAACCCCAGCUUAAAUCUGCGCACUUCUAAGCUCCUAGUCAACAUUGGUGUCCCAUACAGCCCAAACACGAAGAUUGGCAAGAAAGUUGCGGUUGAUACCGUUGGCAGCACGCCCCGCCCUACUAAUAAGCCUGAUGAUACUACAGAAGAUGAGGCAGAAAUGUUUGUUGAUCUGUCACCCCUGGAUUCUGCGAAGCAACUUCCUCGCGAUCCGGCUGGUAGGGAGGAGAGGCACCCAAUGGCCUUCACCCCACCGAAUUGUAGCCUUGGCAUCGAUCGCAGUCAAGAUGAACCAGUGGUGCAAGAUCCUAUGCCAGUUGCCUUUGCUUUCCCGGCAGGCAUGGCCCCAAUGAUGGCGCAUCCAAUGGCUGGUGGGAGGAAGGCUGUGAAGUUUGCAGAGCCGAUAGUGCAAGCCACCACUGAGGAGAUUACGUCGUCACUUAAUGAAGCUUACCGCAGGAUUGAGGAGGCAGCAUUACAGAGGAGGUCCUCACGAGGUCAGGGGCAAUCAAGUUCUAACGUGCCUGCUGAGUCGGUAUCCGAGGAUACCGUUAGAAGUGCCACCCCUGGUUCUGUGAGGCAGCAUAGGGUAGUUCACGCACCACCCGCGGAUGACUAUGAGCCCGAAGUCAAGGCCACAAAGGAGCAGAACCAGUUGUACGGUAUUGUCAAGUGUUUUGGAAAUGCGAGGUCCAACAGCAAGCACAUGAAGGAGCUGAAAGCCUCGUGUUUGGACAGAACCAAGAUCAUACAAUGUGAUGCGACGUACGUUGACCUGGGUGAUCUUGCCGAGUCUUACAGUGUGACCUGCAAAAUAUGGGAUGGUGACUUCCACCAUAAAAUCCUGAGGAAGCAUUUUGCUGCGCAUGGUGAAUUCAAGCUCACAAUGAAGAAAUGUGUAUUGUUCCUCAUGUUGCAGGAGCUUGCACCACACGACACACAUGACAAGUGUGGUCACCACUACGCGAUUUGCCUUGACCUGAAGAACCAACGAUUUGAGGUGCUAGAUUCAAUGCGUUCAGAAGCUGAUGCAGACCUUACUACGCAUGCUAAAUUCUUCAUCAACAACCUCAAAGAGACAUGGAACCGUCACUAUGAAAACUCAAGGGUCCAGAUCGGUCAUUUCCCAAUCGAGUACGUCGCGACUACGAAGCAAGGAAACCGGUAA